rnacentral:lncRNA from 1 species
ACGAGAUAGAGUAAAGCAGCGAAUUGGAGGACGAUUGCCUCUAAUUCCACGUAUUGGCGCGGUAGUUUUGUUCUUUCCAGGUUGUCGUGUGAACUAAACCUUGUCUCAUGGCUAGUGCAAAUCAACUGGGUUAUAAAAUGGCAGCAAUCCACCUAGAUCACAGUACCCAGUAACCAGUGAGCAAAGGAGGCAGAAGUGGAACUCGAACAGGCAUAAUUAUAUGCACAGAACAAGCUGAUAGAGAAGAAGGGUACGGCAAGCGAAUUAAUUACAU